rnacentral:rRNA from 1 species
GAAGGGACCUAGCGUAGUUCGGAAUUACUGGGCUUAAGGAGUUCGUAGGUGGUUAAAAAAGUUGGUGGUGAAAUCCCAGAGCUUAACUCUGGAACUGCCAUCAAAACUUUUUAGCUAGAGUAUGAUAGAGGAAAGCAGAAUUUCUAGUGUAGAGGUGAAAUUCGUAGAUAUUAGAAAGAAUACCAAUUGCGAAGGCAGCUUUCUGGAUCAUUACUGACACUGAGGAACGAAAGCAUGGGUAGCGAAGAGGAUUAGAUACCCUCGUAGUCCAUGCCGUAAACGAUGUGUGUUAGACGUUGGAAAUUUAUUUUCAGUGUCGCAGCGAAAGCGAUAAACACACCGCCUGGGGAGUACGACCGCAAGGUUAAAACUCAAAUGAAUUGACGGGGACCCGCACAAGUAGUGGAGCAUGUGGUUUAAUUCGAAGAUACGCGCAGAACCUUACCAACACUUGACAUGUUCGUCGCGACUCUAAGAGAUUAGAGUUUUCGGUUCGGCCGGACGAAACACAGGUGCUGCAUGGCUGUCGUCAGCUCGUGUCGUGAGAUGUUGGGUUAAGUCCCGCAACGAGCGCAACCCUCACUUUUAGUUGCCAUCAUUAAGUUGGGCACUCUGAAAGAACUGCCAGUGAUAAGCUGGAGGAAGGUGGGGAUGACGUCAAGUCCUCAUGGCCCUUACGUGUUGGGCUACACACGUGCUACAAUGGCAUCUACAACAGGAAGCAAAACGGCAACGUUAAGCAAAUCCCGAAAAGAUGCCUCAGUUCGGAUUGCACUCUGCAACUCGAGUGCAUGAAGCUGGAAUUACUAGUAAUCGCGGAUCAGCGCGCCGCGGUGAAUACGUUCCCGGGUCUU